GGAAGUCUGAAGGCCAACUUCAGCAAGUUGUACCCGACAUAAAGAAAGAGAAUUCACAAGUGAGGAUUCUCAUCGAGAUGCCCGAAAUGCGAGCAGAAGUGUUGCGGCUUCUAUCACAGAUGUUGAUGCUUCCCCAGGCCAACGCUGUACGAUGAUGACAUAUUUGACAAAGGAGCUGAUGAAGCAAUACUUUAUACGACCUUAUCGAUGGAUUUCUCAGCAACCAGCAGCCACUUGGGGUCGGCCGGGGGUGUUGACAGGAGUGUGAAGUACAUCCCAUCUCGUAGAUUGACGCUAUGGAUACAUUAUGGCAUCGGAAGUUGGAUUCAUCAGAAAAACAAUGACUUCAGGAGUUCAAUCCCUGCAUCGUUUGCCAAUAGUCGUCAGUCCGUGAUGUUUUUCCUAGAAUAAAAUGGCUUUUUUCCUGCCCUUCGUGUUCACUACCAUCACUACCAUGAUGUCAGCUGGUCCUUUCGUGGCAGGGCUGAAAUGCAGUGGAAAUAGCGUUCAUUUUAAUGACAUUUAUUACGCUUUAUAACAUUCUGGAA